rnacentral:rRNA from 1 species
CCUACGGGAGGCAGCAGUGGGGAAUAUUGCACAAUGGGGGAAACCCUGAUGCAGCGACGCCGCGUGAGUGAAGAAGUAUUUCGUUAUGUAAAGCUCUAUCUGCAGUGAAGUAACUGACGGUACCUGAGUAAUAAUCCCCGGCUAACUACGUGCCAGCAGCCGCGGUAAUCCGUAGGGGGCCAGCGUUAUCCGGAUUUACUGGGUGUAAAGGGAGCGUAGACGGCUGUGCAAGUCUGGAGUGAAAGGCCAGGGCUCAACCCUCGGACUGCUUGUGAAACUGUACGGCUAGAGUGCAGGAGAGGUAAGCGGAAUUCCUAGUGUAGCGGUGAAAUGCGUAGAUAUUAGGAGGAACACCAGUGGCGAAGGCGGCUUACUGGACUGUAACUGACGUUGAGGCUCGAAAGCGUGGGGAGCAAACAGGAUUAGAUACCCGAGUAGUC